UUCCNGACACCAGUAGAAAUGCUAAGCCUGC
rnacentral:piRNA from 1 species